AAGAAUUCCAAAAUCACAUCAAUUUCUCUAGAAAACAGCUAAGGGUGUCAAAUAAAGUGACACAGCGUAUGAGUAUUCAGUUCAUAGGUACUUUUCUCAAGGUAGACAGCCCAGGGAACAUGAUACAUGGUUGCACAGAUUUUUAUAAUCGCCUCCACCCUCUUGUCGAUAUAUUUACCUGCUUCACCGUAGGUCAUCCCCAUUUUCUCCUUGCUGAGUGCAGCUGGUGAAUUACUAUGCGAACUGCACUACACAGAAGAUUUAACUCGGUCUUCUAGCAUGGGAAACCCCUGGCACUUACAAUACACUUUAAUUUUGCUCUGUAUUUCAGUGCUGAAUACCACAGGGAUCAAGCAAAGACCAAGAGGUGGCUUGAGGACAUGGGAUCCUGAAACAGCUUACCUCACCAGAUGUGAUUUUAACAAUAACUCAAGGCCAUUCUGUGACUGGACUCAGCCUUGCAAUGUCAACCAGGGAGUGUGGAUACGAACCAAGCAUGACACUCCAACUGAUGGAACAGGUCCUGAUGGAGACUAUCCUGAUGGAAGUAAGUGCUCAUUUGUGGCCUUGUUGAUUUUCCUUUUCUGAAGACAGCUUGACUACCUUUAUUCUUC
rnacentral:lncRNA from 1 species